rnacentral:rRNA from 1 species
UGUGGCCUACGGGGGGCAGCAGUGGGGAAUAUUGCACAAUGGGCGAAAGCCUGAUGCAGCAACGCCGCGUGAAGGAAGAAGGUCUUCGGAUCGUAAACUUCUGUCCUUGGGGAAGAUAAUGACGGUACCCUUGGAGGAAGCCCCGGCUAACUACGUGCCAGCAGCCGCGGUAAUACGGAGGAUGCGAGCGUUAUCCGGAUUUAUUGGGUUUAAAGGGUGCGUAGGCGGAAGGUUAAGUCAGCGGUCAAAUGUCGGUGCUCAACACCGGCCUGCCGUUGAAACUGGUCUUCUUG